CAAGAGAAAGACCAGCAUGACAAGCAGUAAUUAGAGAUGGGGCAGCUAUUUUUGAACAAAGACAUCACACAGACCAUAAUGCAAUGAGGCGGAACCACGAACAGCAACAGGUUCUUCUGAAAGCAGCUAGAAUUCUAGACCAAAGGGUGCCUUGCUGCUUCAACUAGGCUGGUUUGCCUUCCCUGUACGUGGCUGUUGGUUGGCAAUUGCCAAGUGAAGUUCAUGAUUAUAAGUAAAGGUGGAGAAAGUGAAGUUUCCAAGUCACCUGGGUAGAGACAAAGAGCCAGAAAGCUUGAGAUCCUUGGAAGAAAUCUUUGAGAAGAGACUAUCCCAUGUCAAUAGUCCCAGGUGAAGACCCCAGGAGAAUAGCCUUUCAUGCUGUAUUUCUUCACUCUGGACAUCUGAUUAAUUUGGGGCAGCAAUGGAGUCAAGGCAGAUGUGUCCUGCAAAACAUCAAGGUUCAAGGAGAAGAUAUUGGCACUGAUGACAUGGAAGCUUGAACAAGAAAAAAG